rnacentral:lncRNA from 1 species
GCCGGCUCAAAUUCAACAGAAUCUGAUGAAAUCGUGUCGAAACGCGCUGAUUCUGCCUUCGUGCGAAGCAGCCCACCACGGCUAGGUCUUCUCUAGCGUGCAUUCUCUCUCUUUGGCUCUAGUUUCACACACAAAUGACUUCGUCUGGCCUCUCUCCAGCCGCCCUCACGCAGAUCCAAUUAGAAAUAGCACACAGCCGACAUUGCUGCACCGGCAAAUUACGCAAUUCGUCUUUUUCCUUCGGACGAGGCUGGCGCAUGCACCGAUCUGUUUUUGCUAGUACAGCUCGUCUUCCUCUGUCUCGACUCAUGAAUUUGGUCGCGCCGGAGAUGCAUCAUCUUCUGGGAGGCUGUCGCUGCCGUUGCCUCUAUUUUCAGAUGGUGAUCGAGAUGGAAGGAAAAAUACCAAAUCUGUUUUUCUUUGGCUCUCUCUUUCUCAUAUUUGGC